rnacentral:rRNA from 1 species
UACAGAGGUCCCGAGCGUUGUUCGGAUUCACUGGGCGUAAAGGGUGUGUAGGAGGUCAGGUAAGUCGGGUGUGAAAUCCCACCGCUUAACGGUGGAAUGGCAUUCGAUACUGCUUGGCUAGAGGAUCGGAGAGGAGAGCGGAAUUCCAGGUGUAGCGGUGAAAUGCGUAGAUAUCUGGAGGAACACCGGUGGCGAAGGCGGCUCUCUGGGAGAUUCCUGACUCUGAAACACGAAAGCCAGGGGAGCAAACGGG